ACGUCACCAGAUGGCGAAAUUUCUAGCAAUUAUUGAUUCGACUUAAUUUUUGUUAGAAAUGCACUAAUUAACUUGGGAUGGUUUAAAUAUUGCAUACAUUGGUUAUGAGUUAUUCUAUUUGAUUAUGUUCCUAUUUUGAUAAUCUCUUUUAAAUCUUUUCAGAUACGACUAUGUUCAAGCUUCGCGGAGGAAUACACAGUACGACUGCGCGAGGGGAACUUAUAUAAAUAUUCGGUAAUCAUGGGCGCUGGUUGAGAUAUAAGAUUUGAGAAGUAGAUGGUAGUGGGUCCGGAGCGAUAGCGUGGUGUUUUUUGUGUCAGUGCGGAAGGUAAGCGUACUACGUUACAAGAAAGUUAUUCUUUUCGGUGUUCGUAUCAAUGCUAAUAUAAUGUAUCACAAAAUAAUGGUAGUGCCCCGCGCUUACGCAGGUUUGUCUUGGUGGUGUGAUAGUUUUGGACAUAUAAAUGGGAAAACUGAGUAAAAGGUUAAUGUCUAUUAGCCUUGGAAGUUCUGAUGUAAGUUAUAUUUAGAAAGUACUUCUUUGGAUAUGCUGCUGAUAGAAUUUUUGUACCGAAUAGUGUGAGUGCCAAUGUAUUGAAGCUGUGAUCAUGUAAAUUAUCAGAUUUGCGACGCAUACAAAUAUACAGUCAAAUCUGGUCUCUGAGGUUAGGUGCUUGCAAAGUAGUUGCCUCUAGUAACUAAAAGUUGAAAAAUUUCACCUUGAUCCCACCAGCAAGGGAAUGAUAGUGGUCAGUGACGUUGACUAGUGACGCUGUUCUGUAGCGCCAUGUGGUGUUUUCUGUAACUUACUGAAAAGAAGAGUUUUGUGUUCGGGGUAAGUGAAGUUGCUGGGCUGAUGAAGAGAACUGGAUGCAAGGAAAGUGUGUUAGGAGGAUUGGGUUUGUUGAGAAUUUGUAACGGUUUUGUUCCUUAAAGAUAUUUACUUGUAUGAAUAAAGUUUCAAAUAAAGACUACAGUUUGUAGCAAAUAAUGGUUUUGUGGAUAUUAAAGUGCCUUAUCCUUGACCUGUUGUAAGUAAAACUUCUUGUAGAGAGAGAUGGUUGAAACAUAUUACUGACAUUAAUGAUCUGUCACUCUAGAUUCCAGCAGUCCUGAUGGAAUUUUAAUUUUAAAAGAAAGGUAAAUGGAAGUCUCAAACAUUUGAAUUGUGGUUGUCAACAUUAAUGGCCUCCAGUUUGAAAGUGUCAAGAACACAUCAUUAAGUAGAUAGACUUAAAUACUACCUUCAGCAUGUAUUUCAGGUACUCUGUGCUUGUAUUUUGAGCUGAGAAUUUUCUCCACAGAUCAUUCCUGCCUCUUGGAAGAUGCUAACCUGCUCACUGUAAAGAUUAUCAGUAUAGUUUCAUAAUUUCUUGGAUCCACACUCUAAUGGAAUUAAAAUUGAAUGCUUGGUUUAUACAGAUUAUAGUCAAACAUUGAAAUUUCAGGUUGUGUUGGAAACAGUAUCAAGCAAGUGUAGUUGAUAGCUGCAGUUCAGAUCUGAAGUUAAUUUCAAAGCUGCUGAAGACUGUGGACUGCCCCCACAUAAUUCAAGAAUUGCCAUAAAUUAUCUUCCUGCAACAGCAUUCUUAUAAAUAAGACUGGUUUUUUGAGAACUCUACAUAAAGUGUAUAAUGGGUUUCACUGGUAUAAAGAAUUCAUAUUCUGUGGAGCACAAUAUAAAUCACAUUACUGACAAGGCUGCGAAGAAGACGAUGGAAAUGGUAGCAAGCCAACAAAUAUGAAGAAAUGCUUGCAAAGAGAACGUGGAGCUCUACUGUCGGAAUAUGAUAAAAAUGUGUGAAGUCGGUCCAUGAUGGAAGACAUACUUGUGACUAUGUGAAGAACUAUGGAAGUAACACUGUACUAAAGGCGUUGAGAGAGCAAAGCAGCUAGACAAAAGAUGGAAGUAACUGAGUGACAUGUUGUUGAUGUGCAAGUGAAGAAAGACUAUGAAUACCGGUUACCUCCAGGUGCAUGACAAGUCCCAUAACAGGAUUAUAUGUGCUAGUCGAUCUCCAUAACCUCUUCGAGAAAAAGGGAGAUAAUAGUAGAGACGUCAAAGUAUAGGAAGAAGGUGUAAAGUAAUAGUUUCAUGGCUCAUCAGUGAAGAGUAUUUAAUGGAAAGAACAUAGCCUAAAUCACAUACAAGACAAUUGGGAAGUAGCAGUGGGUCUGCACUGAGUGACAAAUUGCCUUAACUUGUUGCUAACCGAAGAUUUGUAGUGGCAUGAUAUUUUCUGUGAGCUUUCAUUUGGAAUGUAUAUGAUGAAAGCUGAUGUACAACAGUGGAGGUUAGUGAGCAUGUACAUAAUGAUGGAGCUAACUAAUCUUGUGUCCUGAGACAUUAUUUUUCUCAAUGCCUUACUUGCCUAAUGAGUGUUGCAUGUUUAUUGUAGAUAUUUUCCAGCAUAUGUCGAUGAACACAGAAGAAUGUACACUAGGAUGGA